UGUGUCUCCUUGUUGGCGGUACAGUAUAACACAAGCAUACAGAUCGGGGACCGACGGUGGAUGGGGAAAGGCAGUAGCCGCAGCAGCAGCAGUCGGACGUACCGACCGAAGGAUGCUCCAGCACCAUGACUUGCUCGGCGUCAGAUAGCGAGAAGAUCGUCAUCAACUGCGGUGGAAUUCGACACGAGACCUACCGGAGCACCCUAAAGACGUUGCCGGGGACGCGUUUGUCUUGGCUGACAGAGCCCGACGCCUACAGCAACUUCGACUACGAUCCCAAGUCCGACGAGUUCUUCUUUGACCGCCACCCGGCCACCUUCGCCUUCAUCCUCAACUACUACCGUACCGGCAAGCUCCACUGCCCUAACGAUGUCUGCGGGCCGCUCUUCGAGGAAGAGCUUGCCUUCUGGGGCAUCGAUGAGACGGACGUGGAGGCGUGCUGCUGGAUGAAUUACCGACAGCACCGUGAUGCAGAAGAAGCCCUGGACAGCUUUGAGACCCCCGAACCGGAUCCACCCGAGGACGACCCUGCACUCACCGGCGGAGCGGAUGGCGACCUGAAACGUCUGUGCAUGCAGGAGGACGGCCGCAGGGCGACACGGUGGGAGGUGUGGCAGCCCUGGAUGUGGGCACUGUUUGAGGAUCCCUACUCCUCCAAAUAUGCCCGGUAUGUGGCUUUUGCCUCGCUCUUCUUCAUCCUGCUCUCCAUCUCCACAUUCUGCCUGGAGACCCAUGAAGUCUUCAACACCAUCUACAACAAAACAGAGAAUGUCACCGUCGGCAACGUGACACGUGAAGAGAUUGUGUAUGAGGUGGUCACAGACAGCUGGCUCACAUAUGUCGAGGGCGUCUGCGUCAUCUGGUUCACCAUUGAAGUCAUGGCACGCGUUAUCUUCUGUCCUGACAAGGCAGAGUUCUUCCGCAGUGCCCUGAACAUAAUAGACUUUGUGGCAAUUGUGCCCUUUUACCUGGAGGUGGCGCUGAGUGGCCUAUCCUCCAAAACAGCCAAAGACGUUCUGAGCUUCCUGCGUGUUGUGCGCUUUGUCCGUAUCCUACGUAUAUUCAAGCUGACCCGCCACUUUGUUGGUUUACGUGUGCUGGGCCACACUCUGCGUGCCAGCACUAAUGAAUUCCUGCUGCUCAUAAUCUUCCUGGCACUAGGUGUCCUCAUCUUUGCUACCAUGAUCUACUAUGCUGAACGUAUCGGUGCUGACCCAGAUGAUCCAACAGCUGCAGCCCACACCAACUUUAAGAACAUCCCCAUCGGCUUCUGGUGGGCUGUGGUGACCAUGACCACGUUGGGAUAUGGGGAUAUGUAUCCUGAAACAUGGUCAGGAAUGCUCGUGGGUGCCCUCUGCGCCUUGGCUGGGGUGCUGACAAUUGCCAUGCCAGUGCCUGUCAUCGUCAAUAACUUUGGCAUGUACUACUCCCUGGCCAUGGCUAAGCAGAAACUCCCCAAGAAGAGGAACAAGCACAUCCCCAGGGCGCCACAGCCAGGCAGCCCAAACUAUUGCAAGCCAGAUGCCCUGGCAAUGGCGACAGCAUCUCCUCACAGGUUGAUGGGAAAUGUGCUCGGGCCUGGCAUGGUGGGAUCUGGCAGCAUGAUGGGUACUGGAGACUGCCCAUUAGCACAGGAGGAGAUCAUUGAGAUCAACAGGGCAGACUCCAAGCAGAACGGUGAUGCAGCAGCUAACGCUGCGGCUCUGGCCAAUGAGGACUGCCCUACCAUCGACCAGGUCCUGGGAGAUGAGCGUAGCCCGGCUACCGGUGGGCUAGGCUCCACCCCCAGCCGUGAGCGCUACCCGCACGACCGGGCGUGCUUCCUGCUGAGCGCAGGGGAGUUCCAGCGCACAACAGACGGAAACGUUCGAAAAGCUAAACUGCUUCAUUAUGAAACACUACUCUUUUUGAGGGAUUAUAAUGUCAACUGUAAUUCUUUCUCCAGCCACGAGCUGGAGGGGGCUCUGUUACAGCUCGGUAGGAUUCCACCUUCUCCUGGAUCAAACCACAGAGACACAGAGUGGGAGGUACAGUGAACGGCUACUGGAGUGACAGCCCAUGGUAGAAGAAGAGCAGAUGCCAAAAACCACACAGGAAGAAGACAGCAAACAAAGGACGGACAGAGAAAAACACAAUCUAGACAAAGUCCGCAUCAGUGUUUUUAUGUGCAUGCGUGCCCAGACCUGCAGCUACCUCUGUACUAAAGCAAAUAAAUUCAGCAAGGAAGAACAUAUCUCCCCUCACAUGUUCUUCUUGAUUCCUGAUGAAGAUUUUUGUGGAAAAAUUUAUUUGAGUGCAUUUGGAAAAAGACGGUCCGUUGGUUAAGUUGUAUCUUUUUGAUUCCCCUGUGCACAACUCUUGCUCUCUCCUUUUUUCUCUCCCAGCAGAAAGUAGAAUAGAAUGUUUCAUUUGUUUACACAUCAAAGAAAAAUCAAAAUGAUGCAAAUUUGCUUUAAAAUUCAGAGAGUAUUUAGAAAAUUGCACCAAAAUAAGUGUACAGUGGGAGGUAUGUCCUUCCUCAUACUUUUUUACAUUCAGACUGUGAGUUACAGAAGGUGAGAGCACUGCUUAUAGACAUCAUUUUUGAAUGCUCAUGUAUGUUUUUGUUUGUUUGUUUGUUUUUUAAACAAAUAUCUUGUUUAUGUUUAAAUGUAUGUUUACUUUCUUGCCACAGCAGUCUACAGUCUGGCUGCUAAGUUUGGAGCUAUGGCUAGAAAGUCUGAGCUUACCUUAGAUGGAAAGGAAAAUAACAACUCCCAGUUUCAUUACCUAAUAUAGUGUGGGAACAUGAUGACAGCUUGUUAUUAUUUUCAGGUUAAUUUUCAGGUUUGUUAGAGGUGUUAACUGCAUCCCAGUUUUGAAUAUUUAUGCUAAGCUAACUUCAUUUAUCACCUGCUGGCUGUUUUUCAGGCACAACUGCUCAAGCUGCCGUUGGCAAGAAAGUGAUGUACAGAUUUGUCCAAAGUGUGUAGCUAUUCUAUGUGUUUUAUGUCAGGCAAGGUUUUCUAUUGUUCCCGUUUAUCCUGAUGCUCAACCCCUCUGUGGUGCAGUAAUGAAUAACGUGGAUAUUUCAGUCCACUGGGGGAUUCAUGAAAACCAGGAACACAUUUACACACCUCAUUUCAUCCUCUCCUUUUCCCAGCAUCCAUUUGUACAGAGUGCAUCUGUCACUUUUCCCCUUUGGUUUCUUUUGUUGUGACAGUGUAUAUAUGUAAAGUUUGUGUUGUAGAUAAACCUGCAUGGGUUUCUGUCACAAUCAAUAAGGAUGCUAAUUUGAUAACGUUUUAGUCUCAAGCCUAAUGGCACUGUCUAGAUUACCACAUGUGCGUGGAUGUAUAUGUUGAGGUACUUGCAUAUGCACUAACAAAAGCAUGCAACACAAAAAAUGGUCACCUCUGAAUGCAGGAAGAGGUCGAUGGACAUUAUGCAUGACUAGAUGCUACGAUGAUACUGGUCAGACCAGACCAAGUUAGGUACUGUAAUAGGGCAGGGCGAGGGUGGGAAAGUUUAUUUUUGCAGGAUGGGGAGGGGUUACGUCUUCUACUGUUGCUUUCUUAUCACUCUUGAGAGACUUACAAGGUAAACAUUAACAGUUGUAGCUUUUUCUUCUUUUUUUAGCUUCUCCGUUCACAAAGAGUGUUCUGAAAGCUGUGUACUUAUCAGAUAUAUGCAAAAAAGUAACAGUAACUGUGAACUAAUGCUAAAAAAUCCAGCUUCUUCCAUCAUUGUUUCAUUUCCCCCGUUCAUCUUUUCAUUCAUUUGCACCUUAAUUUUGUGUUCACGUCAUGUGUCGUUUCCAUCUGCCCUUUCCUGUUCUGUAAACUGUAAUAUGUCCAAAAGACACGUCUCUGUAAUGCAAUAAUUCGCUGCACCUUCUGAACAAAGAGCAAUUCCUAAUUAUCCAUCUUUCCUUCAGCAGCAUACAAACAAUUUCCUUCUUUUGAUGUCCCAGUGAACCGAUGUCCCUUCUUUCUUUUCCCAGUAAAGAGGAAAAGAAAGUCCAUGAAGCCAUUCCUGUCAUAGAAUCCAUAAAUAUAUGGAUGUGAUUGGUCAAAAGGGCCACAUCUACAGUCAGUCAUAAUCAAUCCAUGACUAACACAUGCAAGAAUCCUAUCAAUAUAAUUUAGCCAAGAUGACAAAUUUUUAAAAAUGAUGGAGAUUUAUACUGGUCUUAGGAAAGUAGCUCAUUGUAUCUUGUAAUGUAUAGAAGCCCUUUGUUUUUCUGGAUGAACCACAGACUAUUUGAUUGCUUCGUUUUAAAAGUCUCAAGAUUUGUGAAUUCCUAGUGAGAACCAUUAUUGCUGGAGCAACGCUCAAAAGUUAGAGCUUGAAGAGUGUUUCAUGUGAAUUGUCGCUGGCUUUUUCUUUGUGUCAUGUUUGUGAUCUGUGUUUCCUCCAUCUACUCAGGUAUAGCUCUCUUAACCUGUGCCCAUCUGUAUCUGGUCGCCCAUGCUUUCUCAGAUAUGACAAACUGAAGGACUAGAAAAAAACACUGAAAAAGGUUUUCUGUGAAUACCAUGUGCUCUGUUUUAGGGUUCCUUCUACAAAACUGCUGUCCUUGCUUUGUUUUUCCGAAUGUGCUCCCUUGUCUUCUCCUUGUAUUUCUCCUCACCUUUCUUCUCUGUCCCAGUAACUGUAUCUCACUUUCUAUGGGACACCAUCCAUCCAUUCUUCAAGCCAGAAAACUGAAGCCAAAAAGGAAAACGUGUAAAUUAGAGCACCUUCGCAUUGGAAAAACAAAAACUAUUGGCCUGACAGUGGACUUCGCUGAGGAUGAAGAUAGGAAUGGACAAUAAAAAGAAUAAAAAAGAGGGUAAUGAUAUGUUGUAAACAGAUGCAGAUGAACAAAUGUGUUGAAAACUCGUGUCCUGAGUGGAUUGUCAGCUGAGCAGCAUCAAAGAGAGGAGAUGGAGGAGGAAAAGUUUGGGCAACACAGAAAGUGUUGGAGGAGGAAAGAAAGAAGCACAAAUCGCUUCUCCAUUGCUGAGUUUUUAACAAACUCACCCAUUCCUCUACAAGAAGAGGAAAACUAUUAACUGUAAACUGCUGCUCGUCUGUCUCUGCUGAUGGGAUUCACCGUAGAAACUGGGAGGGAGAUAGAGAGAAAGAGAAGAACAACAAUGGUGUUCACAGUUCCAUCAUCACAUGCAACCUAAUGGAGAAAGUGGCUGUUAGUAAAUGUAAGCCAUAUUAACUUGGAAGACCAAACAAUUUCACAUCCUCUGAACUGAUUUCCAGAGCGAAUGGCUACAUAGAUUCUCUCAGCUGAGCUGCCAGAGGGCUUCCUGCCCGAUGGUCUUGUAUGUGGAAACCUCGUGUCUUCUGGAUGUCUUCGGUGUUUUAGUCACAAUUUUAUGUAAUUUAGUUGUCAUAUUGCUUUACUUACCUUUUUUUUUCAAGAGACUGCAUAAACUGCGACUGAUUCCCGGGAAUCAUCCAUUAUUUUGGCACUCAAAGCACUAUGCAAGGUGAGGGAGUCUAUCACGAUGUCCAGCGACUGCUAGGCUGCCCUGUUAAUCUCAGCUGAGAAACAGCAAGCUGAAGUCAAUUCAUACAUAUCAAAAAACAGCAGCUUUCACACUUAUAUGCACAUCACACAGUCAUUUAUGUUUUAUACUAGCUGAAUCUCCCAGGAGGCAUCGAGACAACAUCUGGGGACUUGAAAUUCAGCAAGACAUCAGCAUGUUAGUUCGGAUGAUGUAACCCAAAGACUACAGACACUUGGAUGGAUGCAUUAGUUGAGAUGAACAGAAACACUCAAAGGCACUAAACUGGCCAUAAGGUCACAUGGCUGUCUUCAGGCAUCACUGAUGACAGCCAUGGGAUAGGCCCUCUUUCUCACUUGUUCCUUCUUGAGAUUUUAUGGUAUCUUACCCGAGUACCCCCGCCACCCUUAACUGCAUCUCUGCAUUGUUAUUGCUCCUCCCCUUUAGAAAAUCUGCAUGGAAAUCUGUAUUAAUGGGGGGAGGGGGGCAUAGUUAAUUUUUCUUUCAGCAUUGUUAGUGUAAUGGUAGCAUCACUAUCAUCCAAGAUACGUUUUAACUACUUACUGCUAAGGAGCUAAGAAAACAUGGUGGAGGAGGAUGAGCACCCUCCUCCCAGAGAAAAAGGAGACCAUACACACCAUAUCUGUUUGGAGGUGUGAAACUGAGCAGGCAAACAUCUUUUACAAACUAUUUGAGGGACAAAAAAUGGCAGUGAUUGCAAAUUAGAAAUUCAUUUUUCUGACAUUGUUUAUCAGCAUGAAUAAUGUGCAUGACUUUUGCAAGUCACUCUUUUCUCUCAUGAAUAACAGGGCUAGAAACUGGUUUUUGUGUGUGUGUGUGUGUGUGUGAAAAUGUAAUAAUGUUAUGUUAUAUGCAAUAGAAUGCGUACAGAUAAGUGUGUAGGAAUAACGAUUUCAUCCAUUUGAUUAACAUGGUAAAACACCAUUAAGAAAAAAAAGGUGAACCCUGUGUAGUUCUCUUUAAGAUGUCUUAGGACACCCAAUAAUAUAGCUUUCUUAAAUCCAAGAGGAGUCCUCUUCAACUUUUGCAAGUAUUUAUUCUGCUAUUGCUUCAACCUUUCACCUGGCUGCUAUUCUGCCUUUUUCUUAUUAUUACUAUCUCUUCUUCUUAUUGAAGCCUCUUAGUAGAGUCCCUAGCUGUUAAUCUCUACAAUCACUGCUGUUUCCGGACUGAAAGUUGUCCAUUCAAAGAUGUCAUUAUCCUGUGCAGUCAAACUGAAAAGGUUACGUUGUUCUUUUAGUUACUUUGUCCUUGACCUAAAUAUUGCUUCCAAGGUCUUGAGGACCUUCCAAAGAACCAUCAGAGGUGUGGGGUUCAGGUUACUUCAGGAGAAGGUCUACUGUUGCUUUAUUUGUUCGUUUGUACAUACUCUCAAAGUAAUCCAAGCUGAUCAGAUGCCUUCAUCAGAUGAAAAGGUACACAAUGCCUCACACUUGAUGAGGGGGACAGUCUGACAGACACUGAAAGAUGUCAUCUGCAGAUGUUUGAUUUCAUGGUGUAGCUUGGACAAAUGACUCUUUAAGAGAAAUACACAACCCCAUCAUCACUGUUCGGUAUAUUUGGUGUAUCUUUUUGUCUUGAUCUGGAAUAACCUCUUUCUUUAAUUUUCACAAUGGUUCAGGGACAAAAAGAAAAAGAAAUACCUUGGUGGAGUUUCUCAAGUUGCAUAUUUGAAUAUUUGUUGGCUGAAUGAAAUAUGUAAUCACUACAUUUAUAUUACUCUUAUCCAUGAGCCCAUUUCAUAAAACUUAUACCUGGAGUUUCCAUAGUUUUGGAAAAAAACAGCCUGCAAAGGUGCUGGCUACUAAUGACCUCGCCUGAUGAGUCCAUUUAUGAUAUCUUUAGUAGGCUGUCAUAGCAAAUAGUGUACCAGCUGAAAAAUUAGGCUACAAGUUAAUAAGUAAAAAGAGGUUGGGAAAACUGUUGUUUGAAAUAUUUAAAGAGAAUUGUGCCAAAAUACACUAUUUGAGUCAAACAAAGUCUGCUGAAACACUGUAGGAGCAGAGUAUGCACAAGUGUAAGACAUGCUCCUCUGACAGAUAGAAAAAAGAUUAUUAUAAGAAAUAUGUUUGUUAAAUUAUCUGGAUUUUAAUUGUGCCUCUCAUUUUUAUACUGUUUCAUUCAUAUGAAUUGCUCUGUGUUGUCUCUAUUAUACAUUGAUUUUUGCUCAUGAUGCUGGGUAAAUGGACUGGUUCAUACGUAUAGCGCUUUUCUAUUCGAGCACUCAGAGCGCUUUAUACAGCAUGCCUCAUUCACCUGAUAACAGAAGGUAUUUUUCCCAUGCCCAAGUGUUUUAAUCUAACAUUCACUCACAUUCACACUCUGAUCGAUGCAGUGAAGAGCAAGUUGAGGUUAUCAUCUCACCCAAGUAUAUCUGAAAUGCAGGCUAGAGCAGCCAGGGUUUGAAUCUCCCGAUUAGUCGAUGACCUGCUCCACCUCCUGAGCUGCAUUACAUUAUUAUUAGAAUCUCUUAUUUCAUGAACGUCAAAGAAAUGACAAAAAAGGCAACUACAAAGCCGUACAAAACAACUAAAGAGAGAUUUUAAUAACUAAAAAGACAAAUAGAACACCCCUUACCCACAAAUAGAUCCAGAGAGUCUACAGUGAUGAUGAUAAUGACUACAAUGACAGUUGGAGGCUCAUAAUAACUGUAAAGAGAUUAAAAAUCACCUCAAGAGACAAAACAGAACUAAAAACAACUAAAAAAGAGACAAUAAAUAAAGUUAAAAAAUAUCAGUGAGAGGCCCAAAACUUUAACAGAAGAAAAAGACGACCAUGUUCACCUUCUUAUUUUCUUUAAAGUGUCUGACUGCAUUCUGACUGGGGUAGAUGGAGGGGUAGGAGUGGGCUUUUACAUGGCGAUGCCUGAGGCCUCAAAUUCUGUGAGUAGAUUUUUUAUUCUAUGGCAGACAUACAGUAGGACACCAAACGUCAAAUCAAAACAUAAUGAAAAACAUGUUUCCUAUGAAAAAUGGCAAAAAUGAAACAUUUGAAAAAAUCUGUUUAUUUGAAGGCAAGCAAGCACUUUCAGCUGAAGUCGCUAAACUCACCUGUCUGCUUAUAUAAGAGCCACAGAGCUAAAAUUAGAGGCCACGUAGAAAAAAAAGAUUGAUCGUUAUCCUGAGAGAUUUGAAUUUAUGUACUAUAUCUUUAGAUUAUUGCUCUCCGUGCCUUGCUAAUCAAUAGCAAGACUCUGCUUUGGAAAUACUGCUGUGAUAUUUAGGAUUAAUAAAAAUGUAUGUAUAUAUCCAUUUAAACAAUACAUUUAUCAUUUAUUGCUUAGCAGCCAUGGUAGCUGAAGCUGAGGUUAUGGAUGAUGAUAACAAUAUGUUUUAUAAUAAAUGUUACUUUUUUCAACAUAA